rnacentral:rRNA from 1 species
UACAGAGGGUGCGAGCGUUGUUCGGAAUUAUUGGGCGUAAAGCGCGCGCAGGUGGUUCCUUAAGUCUGAUGUGAAAGCCCACGGCUCAACCGUGGAGGGUCAUUGGAAACUGGGGAACUUGAGUGCAGAAGAGGAAAGUGGAAUUCCAAGUGUAGCGGUGAAAUGCGUAGAGAUUUGGAGGAACACCAGUGGCGAAGGCGACUUUCUGGUCUGUAACUGACACUGAGGCGCGAAAGCGUGGGGAGCAAACAGG